rnacentral:tRNA from 1 species
GCANGCUCAACUGGAUAGAGUACUUGACUACGAAUCAAGCGGUUAGAGGUUCGACUCCUCUUGGGCG